UACGUAGGGUGCGAGCGUUGUCCGGAAUUAUUGGGCGUAAAGGGCUCGUAGGCGGUUUGUCGCGUCGGGAGUGAAAUCCACUGGCUUAACUGGUGGCUUGCUUUCGAUACGGGCAGACUGGAGGUAUGCAGGGGAGAACGGAAUUCCUGGUGUAGCGGUGAAAUGCGCAGAUAUCGGGAGGAACACCAGUGGCGAAGGCGGCUUCCUGGCCUGUUCUUGACGCUGAGGCGCGAAAGCUAGGGUAGCAAACGGG
rnacentral:rRNA from 1 species